rnacentral:rRNA from 1 species
UGGGGAAUAUUGCACAAUGGGCGGAAGCCUGAUGCAGCGACGCCGCGUGGGGGAUGAAGGCCUUCGGGUUGUAAACUCCUUUCGACAGGGACGAAGCUUUUGUGACGGUACCUGUAUAAGAAGCACCGGCUAACUACGUGCCAGCAGCCGCGGUAAUACGUAGGGUGCGAGCGUUGUCCGGAAUUACUGGGCGUAAAGAGCUCGUAGGUGGUUUGUCGCGUCGUCUGUGAAAUUCCGGGGCUUAACUCCGGGCGUGCAGGCGAUACGGGCUGACUUGAGUGCUGUAGGGGAGACUGGAAUUCCUGGUGUAGCGGUGAAAUGCGAAGAUAUCAGGAGGAACACCGAUGGCAAAGGCAGGUCUCUGGGCAGUAACUGACGCUGAGGAGCGAAAGCAUGGGUAGCGAACAGG